CAAAGCAACGCGUCGACUACUCGAAAAAUACCGCAUGACGGAAAACAACGAAACGAGAACGAAACUAUUCGAUGGAAUGGGAUCGUACGCGUCCAAGCCAGACAAUGCGAGACACGAGCAGCUGAAACCGUAUUAUAAAGAUCGAGUAUUGGAAUAACCGAGCCAGCGAGGGCGAGAGUGAACAAAACGAGAGAGAAAGGGAGAAAAGAGAGGGAGGGAAGGAGGGAGGGAGAGAGGGAGAGUAUGGGUAAAAGGGGAGACGGAAGGCGACCAGGACGAAAGAAAGGGAUGGAGAGGAAAUGGCAGCACGCAAGCGCACAGCGUAUCCUUCGCGAAAUGCACGAGGCAGGAUGCAGCUCGGCUUCAGGGUCAAGGACGAUUCGACGGGACGUGCACCCUGCGCCUCCUUUCCUCCGACAACGUUCCAGACUGAAGGAUACUUGGCGCUGCAGCCACGAACCCUGCACUCUGACCUCAAAAUGGCGGUGAAAGUUUCACGCGUCACACGUCCAGGCGCUCCAUUUUUGAAAAUUGGGAAUGACGGAUUGAAGCGGUAAUAAAGGAACACACGUGAAUCAACGACCGAAAUGCACCGAUAACGAGGAUCCUUCUGUGUCGGACGGGUAAUAAGCCAGUAUUAGGUGUCGGUUAGCUACAAUUACGAACGUUAGUGACUGUUUAUCGUUAUGCAACCACCGUGUCGACGCAGCAGGUAGACAUUAAAUUUAUUAACAACCGUUGUUCCUUUCGAUGCGUGGUCAUUGCGUGAACAAUGCGGUCUUCGAUUAGGUACAUAGGGUUUCGCGUUAUAUGUAGUACCGCGUACUGUGCUGUAUUUAUACAAACUCAACCAUAGCGCAAACAACGUACUAUUCAAAUCGAUCUAUUGUCCGAUAUUCUUUCGACCAGAGCCAAUUCGCUCUCUAUCUUUAUUUUACGAUCAACGAAAAUCGUAUCAAAAUUCAAGCUGCAUAAUCACGUUCGAAGAUGACUCUCGCAAUACUAGACGACCGAUUAUCGAUCGAAGAUGGUAGUGGUUCAAGGUAAAGACGACCAUAACGACGAAGCAAGGUCCAGAUAUCCGAAAACAGACAUGGUCGCUUAUUUUGGUUGAUCAGAAGCCGCAGAGAUCGAGAACGUCCAUGGGAACGGCCGAUUAAUAAAUCACCGGGUUCCCGUGGAAAGUUCGACCGCGGAUUUAUUUUAGACGCGUUGCAGCGCAGCGGAUUUAGGACAACGUGUCAUCGUCCUCGACGUUUGCACGAUUGCCGCGCGUAUUGCAUACAUAUGCACCUGUGACGGCCCACUUUCACGGUGUCCUCGGCAUACAGGCGAAAUCAAUCGCACAUGAAAAGAAAACAUAACGCUGCACGUCCUUAGAAUAGCGCGAUGAUCCGCGCGGUUUCGCAAACCAAUCGACUUCGCUGUGAUUUCCGAGCACCGACCUUCGCGGUGCAACGAGGUUGUUAAAUUGCUCGAAGCUUGCGUGCUUGAUCGCCCGAGCGACACAGCUAAUUAAAUAGAAGUUUCAAGAAAUAAGUAUUGGAAAAAAUGUG
rnacentral:misc_RNA from 1 species